rnacentral:rRNA from 1 species
GAUGAACGCUGACAGAAUGCUUAACACAUGGAAGUCGAGUUGAAGCAACUUCGGUUGUGGAAAGUGGCGGACGGGUGAGUAACGCGUAAAGAACUUGCCCUUCAGUCUGGGACAACCAUUGGAAACGAUGGCUAAUACCGGAUAUUAUGGAACUCUCGCAUGGGAGGAUCAUGAAAGCUAUAUGCGCUGAAGGAGAGCUUUGCGUUCCAUUAGCUAGUUGGUGAGGUAACGGCUCACCAAGGCGACGAUGGAUAGCCGGCCUGAGAGGGUGAUCGGCCACAAGGGGACUGAGACACGGCCCUUACUCCUACGGGAGGCAGCAGUGGGGAAUAUUGGACAAUGGACCAAAAGUCUGAUCCAGCAAUUCUGUGUGCACGAUGAAGGUUUUCGGAUCGUAAAGUGCUUUCAGUUGGGAAGAAGAAAGUGACGGUACCAACAGAAGAAGCGACGGCUAAAUACGUGCCAGCAGCCGCGGUAAUACGUAUGUCGCAAGCGUUAUCCGGAUUUAUUGGGCGUAAAGCGCGUCUAGGCGGGUUCAUAAGUCUGAUGUUAAAAUGCGGGGCUCAACUCCGUAUUGCGUUAGAAACUGUGAACCUAGAGUAUCAGAGAGGUGGGCGGAACUACAAGUGUAGAGGUGAAAUUCGUAGAUAUUUGUAGGAAUGCCGAUGGAGAAGUCAGCUCACUGGAUGAAUACUGACGCUAAAGCGCGAAAGCGUGGGUAGCAAACAG